rnacentral:rRNA from 1 species
AACGAACGUUAGCGGCGCGCCUAACACAUGCAAGUCGAGCGAGAAGGGAGCAAUCCCAGUAAAGCGGCGCACGGGUGAGUAACACGUAGGUAAUCUACCUCGAGGUGGUGGAUAACCUUCCGAAAGGAGGGCUAAUACAGCAUGAGACCACGUUCUCGAAAGAGGAUGAGGUAAAAGCGGGCCUCUAUACAUAAGCUCGCGCCACGAGAUGAGCCUGCGGCCCAUCAUGGUAGUUGGUAGGGUAACGGCCUACCAAGCCGAAGACGGGUAGCUGGUCUGAGAGGAUGAUCAGCCACACUGGAACUGAGACACGGUCCAGACUCCUACGGGAGGCAG